UACGAAGGGGGCUAGCGUUGCUCGGAAUCACUGGGCGUAAAGCGCACGUAGGCGGCUUCUUAAGUCAGGGGUGAAAUCCUGGAGCUCAACUCCAGAACUGCCCUUGAUACUGAGAGGCUCGAGUCCGGGAGAGGUGAGUGGAACUGCGAGUGUAGAGGUGAAAUUCGUAGAUAUUCGGAAGAACACCAGUGGCGAAGGCGACUCACUGGACAUGUAUUGACGCUGAGGUACGAAAGCGUGGGGAGCAAACAGG
rnacentral:rRNA from 1 species